rnacentral:lncRNA from 1 species
CAGAAAUCAAGGCAGAAAUAUUGAGAUAUGCCAUAGUUUUAUAUAUAUAUAUAUACACACAUUGGUAUAUAAUGUUUUAUUUAUCCUCUGUUUCUCUAGUUCAAUUUGUUCUUUGACACAGCAGUUAGGAAAAUGACAUUUUUAGUGUGGGGGGAGAUUUAACAACAAAGAGCCCAACAGACUCUGGUAGAUCUUAUCUCUAUGAGGCCUCCGGAGUCUGGAGACAGGGCUAAGGUGUAAACAGAAUAGUCUUUAGUACGCACAGCUAAUGUGGUCACUUCUGGGACAGUUAAGUAACCCUUUGUUUGUUAUCUACGUUGUUGUGAAAAACUUAAGGAUAAUUAACCGCGAGUGGAUUUACUACUUACGAGUGAAGGAUAUAUAAGGUGUGUGUAAAACACAAUAAGAAGAACUUGCUAUUCUAAGAACUUGCUAUUCUAAGAAUUUGCUAACUUGCUAUUCUGAGAACUUGCUAUUCUGAUGCCACACUGACUGGGGGAAUACUGUAACGGGACCAAGCGCCGACAUUUUAGAAGCUGUCUUCAAGGUCUCCAAAAUCUCUUCUUUAUUAUGUAUGUAAUAUGAGGCCCACCAUUGUGUUCAGGUAGUUAAGUUUGUUUAUUCUUCAUUGGGGAUCUUAAUAUCUACAACGAACGUCAUUUUAUCUGCACUAUUUUGAACGUAAUUUCAUCAUUGUUGCUUAAUAUCACGAGAUCCUCUGCAACCUGCUUUCUCAGUAAGCUUCAGCUUUGCUGCCAUAAAUUAUGUCUGUAUCUUUUCCAGCUCACUGAACAUCCCAGACUCCAGGUCUUAGCAGAGCUUACUUGCCUUUUAAUGAGUUACUAACUCACAGAAGCCAACUGAGGGCUUAGUGAGAAACUGGUUUUAUAGACAAUAAAUCAUUACUCAGAAGUUUGUGGAGUGCCACCAUGCCUUCAAAUUCAUUUUUUUCCAAAUUAUUUCUUUUUUACAAGAAAAAUAAGGUGUUUUCUGAGGACAAGUAAGAAUCAAGGAUGUUUACCGUUGGGGGAAUCUAGCAGUGAUGCUGUUUUCUGCAUUCAGCACAGUAUUGUCCUGAUACCUGAGGCACUUGGGCUUCAUCAGCAACAAACUCAAACCCACAAAUCAUAAAGUUAGAGGACAAUGUCAAAGCAAGCCAAAGUCUUGCCAAAGAGCUCAAGAAAUGCCAAUACUACAGUCUGAGAGUUACUUGCUAUAACAUGGAGCCACCAUUGCUACAAUAUGCCAAGGUAUGUCCAACCCUAGAGCCAUACUGAAAUGCCUUUAUAUGUAUUUCAGUUCUUAUCACACUAACUUCUGAUCUAAUGGCUUACUGCAGAAGAAAAUUAAAUUAAAAUAAAUAAUAAAAUAAUACAAACUCUGCUGCCA